rnacentral:rRNA from 1 species
ACGAACGCUGGCGGCACGCUUAACACAUGCAAGUCGAACGAGAGAAGAGGAGCUUGCUUUUCUGAUCUAGUGGCGGACGGGUGAGUAACACGUGAGCAAUCUGCCUUUCAGAGGGGGAUACCGAUUGGAAACGAUCGUUAAUACCGCAUAACAUAAUUGAACCGCAUGAUUUGAUUAUCAAAGAUUUAUCGCUGAAAGAUGAGCUCGCGUCUGAUUAGCUAGUUGGUAAGGUAACGGCUUACCAAGGCGACGAUCAGUAGCCGGACUGAGAGGUUGAUCGGCCACAUUGGGACUGAGACACGGCCCAGACUCCUACGGGAGGCAGCAGUGGGGAAUAUUGCACAAUGGAGGAAACUCUGAUGCAGCGAUGCCGCGUGAGGGAAGAAGGUUUUAGGAUUGUAAACCUCUGUCUUCAGGGACGAAAAAAGACGGUACCUGAGGAGGAAGCUCCGGCUAACUACGUGCCAGCAGCCGCGGUAAUACGUAUGGAGCAAGCGUCAUCCGGAUUUACUGGGUGUAAAGGGAGUGUAGGUGGCCAUGCAAGUCAGAAGUGAAAAUCCGGGGCUCAACCCCGGAACUGCUUUUGAAACUGUAAGGCUAGAGUGCAGGAGGGGUGAGUGGAAUUCCUAGUGUAGCGGUGAAAUGCGUAGAUAUUAGGAGGAACAUCAGUGGCGAAGGCGGCUUACUGGGCUUUAACUGACGCUGAGGCUCGAAAGCGUGGGGAGCAAACAGGAUUAGAUACCCUGGUAGUCCACGCCGUAAACGAUGAUUACUAGGUGUGGGGGGACUGACCCCUUCCGUGCCGCAGCAAACGCAAUAAGUAAUCCACCUGGGGAGUACGGCCGCAAGGUUGAAACUCAAAGGAAUUGACGGGGGCCCGCACAAGCAGUGGAGUAUGUGGUUUAAUUCGAAGCAACGCGAAGAACCUUACCAGGGCUUGACAUAUACAGGAAUACUUAAGAAAUUAGGUAGUCUUUCGAGACUUGUAUACAGGUGGUGCAUGGUUGUCGUCAGCUCGUGUCGUGAGAUGUUGGGUUAAGUCCCGCAACGAGCGCAACCCUUACUGUUAGUUGCUACGCAAGAGCACUCUAGCAGGACUGCCGUUGACAAAACGGAGGAAGGUGGGGAUGACGUCAAAUCAUCAUGCCCCUUAUGACCUGGGCCUCACACGUACUACAAUGGCUGUCAACAGAGGGAUGCAAAGCCGCGAGGUGGAGCGAACCCCUAAAAGCAGUCUUAGUUCGGAUUGUAGGCUGCAACCCGCCUACAUGAAGUCGGAAUUGCUAGUAAUCGCAGAUCAGCAUGCUGCGGUGAAUACGUUCCCGGGCCUUGUACACACCGCCCGUCACGCCAUGGGAGUCGGUAACACCCGAAGCCUGUAGUCUAACCGCAAGGAGGACGCAGUCGAAGGUGGGAUUGAUGACUGGGGUG